GUUUCGGGGCGGAGUGCAAUUCUCCACCGGUGGUUAAAGUCCACGAACUGUCUGAAAAGGCGGUUGAAUCGAUGAAAUUUCGAUACCGACGGUUAAAGUCCGGAUGAAAGAAA
rnacentral:ncRNA from 1 species